CCUACGGGUGGCAGCAGUGGGGGAUCUUGCACAAUGGGGGAAACCCUGAUGCAGCGACGCCGCGUGAGUGAAGAAGUAUUUCGGUACGUAAAGCUCUAUCAGCAGGGAAGAAAAUGACAGUACCUGACUAAGAAGCUCCGGCUAACGACGUGCCAGCAGCCGCGGUAAUACGUAGGGGGCAAGCGUUAUCCGGAUUUACUGGGUGUAAAGGGAGCGUAGGCGGUUAUGUAAGUCUGGAGUGAAAGCCCGGGGCGCAACCCCGGGACUGCUUGGGAAACUGUGUAACUGGAGUACAGGAGGGGCAGGCGGAAUUCCUGGUGUAGCGGUGAAAUGCGUAGAUAUCAGGAGGAACACCGGCGGCGAAGGCGACCUGCUGGACUGAAACUGACGUUGAGGCGCGAAAGCGUGGGGAGCAAACAGGAUUAGAUACCCCUGUAGUC
rnacentral:rRNA from 1 species